rnacentral:rRNA from 1 species
UACGUAGGGGGCAAGCGUUGUCCGGAUUUAUUGGGCGUAAAGAGCGUGUAGGCGGCCAAACAGGUCCGUUGUGAAAACUGGAAGCUCAACUUCCAGACGUCGACGGAAACCGUGUGGCUAGAGUCCGGAAGAGGAGAGUGGAAUUCCUGGUGUAGCGGUGAAAUGCGCAGAUAUCAGGAAGAACACCAAUGGCGAAGGCAGCUCUCUGGGACGGUACUGACGCUGAGACGCGAAAGCGUGGGGAGCGAACAGG